GCCCCAUUGGCGGAAUUGGUAGACGCGCGCGACUCAAAAUCGCGUUCCUUUGGGAGUAUCUGUUCGACUCAGAUAUGGGGCACCA
rnacentral:tRNA from 1 species